rnacentral:rRNA from 1 species
UACGAAGGGGGCUAGCGUUGCUCGGAAUUACUGGGCGUAAAGCGCACGUAGGCGGUCUUUUAAGUCGGGGGUGAAAUCCUGGAGCUCAACUCCAGAACUGCCUUCGAUACUGGAAGACUUGAGUCCGGGAGAGGUGAGUGGAACUGCGAGUGUAGAGGUGAAAUGCGUAGAUAUCGUCUGGAACGCCGAAGGUGAAAACAGCUCGCUGGGGCUGCGCUGACGCUGAGACACGAAAGCCAGGGGAGCGAACGGG